rnacentral:rRNA from 1 species
AGAAUGGAAUUCCUGGUGGAGCGGUGGAAUGCGCAGAUAUCAGGAGGAACACCAGUGGCGAAGGCGGUUCUCUGGGCCUUUCCUGACGCUGAGGAGUGAAAGCGUGGGGAGCGAACAGGCUUAGAUACCCUGGUAGUCCACGCUGUAAACGGUGGGUACUAGGUGUGGAGUCCUUCCAGGGUUCCGUGCCGUAGCUAACGCUUUAAGUACCCCGCCUGGGGAGUACGGCCGCAAGGCUAAAACUCAAAGGAAUUGACGGGGCCCCGCACAAGCGGCGGAGCAUGCGGAUUAAUUCGAUGCAACGCGUAGAACCUUACCUGGGUUUGACAUGAUCGGGAGUGCUCAGAGAUGGGUGUGCCUCUUUUGGGGUCGGUUCACAGGUGGUGCAUGGCUGUCGUCAGCUCGUGUCGUGAGAUGUUGGGUUAAGUCCCGCAACGAGCGCAACCCUUGUUCACUGUUGCCAGCACGUUAUGGUGGGGACUCAGUGGAGACCGCCGGGGUCAACUCGGAGGAAGGUGGGGAUGACGUCAAGUCAUCAUGCCCCUUAUGUCCAGGGCUUCACGCAUGCUACAAUGGCUGGUACAGAGAGUGGCGAGCCUGUGAGGGUGAGCGAAUCUCGGAAAGCCGGUCUCAGUUCGGAUUGGGGUCUGCAACUCGACCUCAUGAAGUCGGAGUCGCUAGUAAUCGCAGAUCAGCACGCUGCGGUGAAUACGUUCCCGGGGCUGU